ensembl:misc_RNA Metazoa_SRP Metazoan signal recognition particle RNA
GCCAGGUGUGGUGGUGCACGCCUGUUGUCCCAGCUACUGGGGAGGCUGAGAUGGGAGAAUUGCUUGAGCCUGGGAGGUCAAGGCUGCAGUGAGCCAUGAUGGCACCUCUGCACUCCAGCCUGGGCAAUAGAGUGAGACCCUGUCUCAA